GAAGGAAUAUAGGUCGGCAUGGUCAAUCUGGACAGGAUUUUGGGUCAGCCAAAAAAAAAAGGAUGAAUUGAAAUCCCGCACGAUCCUCCAUUCAAAACUCGCGCCCUCUAGAUCAUCAAGCAAGAAGCAACAGUGUUCAAUGUGAUAGUGGUGAGCGGUGUAGCGUGGAUGUGUGCGUCCAUCAAUCUUUCGCAGCUACGCCUUUCCGUGAGGCGGCUGGAGCAGGAAAUCGCCGAGCCGUGCUGCAGAGAGGAAAGGAUGGCAGGUGGUGCCGCGGUGAACACUCCCAACACAUGCAGGAGGAAAGAAAGGAUGGCAGGUGGUGCCGCGGUGAACACUCCCAACACAUGCAGGAGGAAAGAAAGGAUGGCAGGUGGUGCCGCGGUGAACACUCCCAACACAUGCAGGAGGAAA